UUCCUCACUGACCAUCCGAGUCACCACAAUGGUCGUAAGUCGGCUCUAUCCAAACAGAACCGGACGAGUCCUGCUCAGAUCAAUUCUCUGCUU